rfam:Aedes aegypti strain Liverpool supercont1.472 genomic scaffold, whole genome shotgun sequence.
UCAAAGGUUUUUUUUUCUCAAGGGCAAUUUGUGGUCUUUAAAACCACUAAAAAAACCAGAAAUGUUAUCU